rnacentral:rRNA from 1 species
CAGUCGCCGCGGGAAUACGGAGGGUGCAAGCGUUAAUCGGAAUUACUGGGCGUAAAGCGCACGCAGGCGGUCUGACAAGUCAGAUGUGAAAUCCCCGGGCUUAACCUGGGAACUGCAUUUGAAACUGUCAGACUGGAGUCUUGUAGAGGGGGGUGGAAUUCCAGGUGUAGCGGUGAAAUGCGUAGAGAUCUGGAGGAAUACCGGUGGCGAAGGCGGCCCCCUGGACAAAGACUGACGCUCAGGUGCGAAAGCGUGGGGAGCAAACAGGAUUAGAUACCCGAGUAGUCCCUGUCUCUUAUAC